rnacentral:rRNA from 1 species
UACGGGGGGAGCAAGCGUUGUUCGGAUUUACUGGGCGUAAAGGGCGCGUAGGCGGCGCAACAAGUCACUUGUGAAAUCUCCGGGCUUAACCCGGAGCGGUCAAGUGAUACUGUCGUGCUAGAGUGCGGAAGGGGCUACUGGAAUUCUCGGUGUAGCGGUGAAAUGCGUAGAUAUCAGGAGGAACACCGGUGGCGAAGGCGGUUCUCUGGGCAUUACCUGACGCUGAGGAGCGAAAGUGUGGGGAGCGAACAGG